rnacentral:rRNA from 1 species
CAUAGGUUUGGUCCCAGCCUUCCUGUUAACUCUUAAUAAACUUACACAUGCAAGCAUCUACACCCCAGUGAGAAUGCCCUCUAGGUUAUUAAAACUAAGAGGAGCUGGCAUCAAGCACACACCCUGUAGCUCACGACGCCUUGCUUAACCACACCCCCACGGGAAACAGCAGUGACAAAAAUUAAGCCAUAAACGAAAGUUUGACUAAGUUAUAUUAAUUAGGGUUGGUAAUCUCGUGCCAGCCACCGCGGUCAUACGAUUAACCCAAGCUAACAGGAGUACGGCGUAAAACGUGUUAAAGCACCAUACCAAAUAGGGUUAAAUUCUAACUAAGCUGUAAAAAGCCAUGAUUAAAAUAAAAAUAAAUGACGAAAGUGACCCUACAAUAGCCGACGCACUAUAGCUAAGACCCAAACUGGGAUUAGAUACCCCACUAUGCUUAGCCCUAAACACAGAUAAUUACAUAAACAAAAUUAUUCGCCAGAGUACUACUAGCAACAGCUUAAAACUCAAAGGACUUGGCGGUGCUUUAUAUCCUUCUAGAGGAGCCUGUUCUAUAAUC